UUGCAGGUGAGAGUCCUGCCCCAGGAAUUGCCUAUUUACCUGGGUAGUUAUAUCCGACUUAGAAGGAGGUGACGAAUUCUAAGGAAGCUCGGAAGUAAAAAAAAAGCUCGUUGGGCUUUUCCUCGGUAAAGAGGAAGGUUCAGGUCGGCACAGGAGCUGAGCAACACCGGGGGCCGCAGCGUGA
rfam:Deltaproteobacteria bacterium RBG_16_50_11 RBG_16_scaffold_73376, whole genome shotgun sequence.